rnacentral:lncRNA from 1 species
GUCCACUGUGAGGACAUGUUGGACGUGUUGCCCUCCUGCAGGACAGAGCUACAGGCGCUGCAGGCUUCCACCAGUAAGAAAAACCAGGACUUUAUCAACUUCCUGUCCAACAUGGAGGUGGACAUCCAGAGGGUGGACAGCAGCAAAAGUUUGGAGGCCAUCAGCUCCACCCUGCAGGACAGUCUGGAUCAACACAACAGAGACACGCAGCAAUGUCACACCAGCUUCAGACAGAUGGUGCAGACCAGACUGAUGGAGGUCAGAGAGAGAACAGCACAGCUGCUCGGCUCCUUCAGGCUGUUCAGUGAAGGAGGAGACUUUGCUCCAGAGGAGAAGGAGGCGUUUCAGACCAGGCUGCAGAGAGACGUCAAACAGAUCAGCAUGGCCGAGGCGUCCAUCCACGCCGAGCUCACGGCCUUUGAGUCCAGGAGCUUACUGCAGGUGAAGACGGUGUCCGGUCCUCUAGAAAACAAACUGUUGUCCCUGAAAACAGAGCUGGACUUCACAGAGAGCACACAGACCACGAUCAGCAGCCUGAACGUUCGCAUCAGGGCAGAGGUACCUGUCCAACCCGUCUCAGUCUCUGACUUCCUCUCUGUCUCAGCCUCUGAC